rnacentral:rRNA from 1 species
GAUUUCCUGAGUAACGGCGAGCGAAAAGGAAAAUGUCCAGCGCCAAGUCUUGACAUUUAAGAUGAUCAAGAGAUGCGGCGUUAAUGUGUUGGCGCAUCGUACAUUGCUUUUAAUUUCAAGUUCCUUUGACUAGGACAUCCAAAGUGGGUGACAGGCCUAUAGAAAUUGAAAGCUGAUGUAUGCCGGCCAUCGCAUUCUAGAGUCAGGUUGCUUGAGAGUGCAGCUUAAAGUCGGUGGUAAACUCCAUCUAAGACUAAAUAUUACAGCGAGACCGAUAGCAAACAAGUACCGUGAGGGAAAGUUGCAAAGCACUUUGAAGAGAGAGUUCAACAGUACGUGAAACCACUGGAAGGCAAACAAAUGGAGCCACGAAGUUGUGUUCCGGUCGAUUCAAUCACUAUUGUAGAAUAGAAGCGUUUGUUGCGGAUCUCCUUAGAGGUUGCUCAAAUGAMUAUAUUUUGCAUUGGUGGUGCAUUUCGUGCCGGAAAUGCAAAGCCACGUUUAGCUAGAGUUGAAGCGGCUGUAGGAAAGGGCGUCAGAAAGGUGACUAUCAUGUGCUUGCAUUUGGUAGCGUUAUAGCCUGAUGCUGGCACCGUUAUCAACAAGCUAGCUAAUAAAAAUGCUCUUUCGAGAGUUGUUGUCAUGUCUGCCUGUGGCGUUUAGUCUACAUUUCGAAGAUUUCUUUGCGUGCUUUUGGUGCGAAAAGAAGCUUUAACAAUGUUGGCUAGAUGUUGCUUGCAUGAGGUGAUAGAACUGUGGCACGAGUAGGUCGGUUUCCAUCUGACCCGUCUUGAAACACGGACCAAGGAGCCUAUCAUAUACGCGAGUCGCUCGGUCUUGAAUAGGCCCGGGAGGCAAAAUGAAAGUAAAACUACGAGACUUUGGUCGCAGUAGUGGCUCGCCUACUUCGUUUAUUGGCGAUCAGGCGAAGCUGGAGCGUAUACGAUGGUACCCGAAAGAUGGUGAACUAUGCCUGGGCAAGAUGAAGCCAGAGGAAACUCUGGUGGAAGUCUGUAGCGAUUCUGACGUGCAAAUCGAUCGUCAGACCUGGGUAUAGGGGCGAAAGACUAAUCGAACCAUCUAGUAGCUGGUUUCCUUCGAAGUUUCCCUCAGGAUAGCAGGCAUUUGAUUAAACUCAGUCUCAUCCGGUAAAGCUAAUGAUUAGAGGUCUUGGGGUUGAAACGACCUCAACCUAUUCUCAAACUUUGAAUGGGUGAGAUGGAUGACUUUCUUGAUUGAAGCCAUCCAUUUGGAUGUAAGUGCCUAGUGGGCCAGCUUUGGUAAGCAGAACUGGCGCUGUGGGAUGAACCAAACGUCGAGAUAAGGCAUCUAAUGCAUACGCUCAUCAGACCCCAUGAAAGGUGUUGGUUGCUAUAGACAGCAGGACGGUGGCCAUGGAAGUCGGAAUCC